ensembl:lncRNA
AUGUCAGAUCCUAACCGGCUCUUGGAGGAGGUCAACAGUCUUGUCAGCCAGGCAGAAGACAUGGAUGCACUCCAAAGGCUGCAUGAGAUCGUCAACAAGCAACAGGAGGCAGCAUCAGCAAUCCAGCCAUCCACCAGACAGCCAUUUGUGAAGUGGAUUAAGAGGCAUAGCGAAGGGAACAUUAUUUAUGGGAGGCCAAGAUCCUCCAGAAAACAAGCAGGUGUUGGCCACAGACAAACUGGAAAGACUGGUGGUUCCCUUCUCAGGGCUCCGGAAACCAGUGUGGAAAUGACCUGUGACUUUUCUCACGUAAACGCUGGUAUGUCCUAUAUUGACUCUGCACUGUGAAACUGCAUGUUAAUUAAUAAUAUGAAUGUAAUACACAUUCCAUAUUUUUGUGUAAGUACGAUAAGUAACACCGUUAUUACACACUUCAGAAUGACUGUUGUUCGGUGAUAUACUUUUUUGUUUAAUAACCUGCUGUUUUGGAAUACUGUCCAUUGUUUAACAGAGUCUUUCCUUCAAGAGCUAAGUUGCUCACUGGGUGAAGACUUAGAUGACAACGAAACACCACCAUAAGCCUCCAGUGAUUGGUCAUUAAGAAAAAGUCUUGUUUCUGAGUGGUGGGCGAAAGUGAGGCCCCGGUUGGUGGACAACAUGGUGGCUAAGCAGCAUGUGGCCAGUCCAGUCUGCCAGAAAUGUGACUCCGGUCCAGCUAUGAUCCACUGUUGUGACUGUCGACCACACGCCUUUCUCUGUGCCCGUUGUGACAUCAACAUCCACAAGGCUCAAGUCUUCCACAACAGGGACUCAAUUAGAGAAGGCUUCUUUCAGCCGUUGCCACCAACAUCAUGUUUUGUGGAGAAGGUUCUUACCCAGUGUGGUAAGUUGUAGUUUUUGAGUCACUUUUUUUCACUUUUUCCAGUUAUCUAAAACUAAAUACUAAAACCUAAAUCAUUUCUGAUCAAACGAUCAUCUGUAGGUAGGCUAUAAAUUAAUAUUGUACAAUGAGGAGGGUAUCAGAGACAUAAAUAAGAAAUAUGGUUCUACAUCUCACCUCUGUCAUUCUUUUGUCAACAAUCAUGUCGUAUUGCCACACUUUUUGCCUACUGCAUUUUCGCCAUCCUGAGACGACAAAGGCAAAAAGGUUUUGUUGACAAACAAAUGGUAAUCAAUAAAUAGAAGUACUGCAUUUGAUCUAAGGCCUUGUGUAUUUAUAUGAACCCAUAACUUAUACUAAGCAGGGUUUCACAGAAUAUGGAAUCAACAUUAAUCACGGAACUUGUGCUGGGUUAAAACAGGUUACAGUGCCAGCACCAUCAAUGUGCAGUGUGUCUGGGAACCCAGGUCCAAUUCUUAUAAUGUGUGUGUAUGCACAAUAUAGCACUAGUAAGAGAGAGGUUGGUUGGAUAACCACACAGUUGUGGUACGGCAAUAGCAAAGAGGCAAGAGUUUGAUAAAUCUUCGCACUAAUGGAACAUUGGUGUAGGUCAAUUCAAUGCAAAAUGCAGAGUGAUAUAUAACACCAGCGCAAAAAUCAGUGAGGAAAUCCAAAUAAAAAAAAAAAAAAAAAAAAAUCUAAGUGGCAACAAUCUUAUGUUUAGGGAAAGAACCUCACAUGAAAAGUCACAUUUUCUUACCUCACAUUUGAAGUCGUGGGCUUUGGCAUGAAACACUGAUAGAAAUGGCUUCAUGGAGAGCAGAUCUUGAAGCUCAGGGCAUCUCUCAUUCACUCUCUGGAGGUAAGGCCAGUACUUGCACGCAACAUCCAUAGCAAAGAAUUUCACUGGCUUACAAGCCAUUUUUUUCUGGAGGUACAGGGGGUAGCCAAAAACCUACCCCCUGAACAUAUUAAGGGCACAAAGAAGAACACCAUGCCGGCAAACUGCAAGUUCUAGGCCCUCCUCAUCUAUUUUGCUGGAGGACUUCUGUGACGUUUCUCGUGCUGCUGACCACUGUCCCCCACAGACACCUCUGCCAGAGGCCUAAAACAUGGAAGAUGGCUAACAGUUCAUGUAGGACAUGGUUUUACAAGUAAAUAUAGUGAUGUUUUGCAAGUUUACAUGUCUGGUUGAGGAAUGGACAUAGUCUACGAAUCUUGCUCCAUCAUCGUCCUUGGCUAUGAAUACACCAUCGAAGAUGGUUGUUCCUCUGAUCUAAAAGAAACACAUAUUGCCUUUUAAUAUUCAUAUGAUUUUCAUUAUGAUUUUACAGCAAAGUUACUUUCAAAACGAUGAACUGUCAAUCUAAACACUGGAUUUUUAAGUACCUUGCUGCACUCUUGAAUCUAUAGUGCUUACGGUUUCCAUCAACAGAGACCGCAAGCAUGUGUGGGGUGCAUGCUGGGCAGUUAAAGUGGUCUUCCUGGAUGAGUUUGUCCACUUCAAAUCGGACUGCCUCCCACUCCAAAAAGCUUUUUCUGAAGCUGUCUGCUAUGAUCUUUCCAGUCUGUUUCAAAAGAGUACAGUAAACCAGAAACAGUAAAACAGAUCAAGAAAUUGAAGACCACUCUACACUGAAAUAAGAUAAUAUCCAUCUAAAAUGGAUAAACUUUGGGAUGUGUACUACUUUCAUGACCUCUGAUAAUAAACAUCAAAGGAAAAGAACCUGAAUUGAAGAAGAACUUGACACUCUACAUCUCUAGCCAAAAAAAGCUACAGUUUGUUCCAGUUUGUUUAAGAGUUAGCCAGUGCAACGUUUGGCCAGAAUGUUUCCAAAUGAACAUUUAUGUGAUCAGCAAAUGAUAUUAGGGAGAACACAUCAAGGUGUGUCCCCUUCUUCACAAACCACUUUAGCCGUUUAUACACCUGUGACAAAAGGUCUGAAUUUAACACAUCCCUUGACCUCAUACUGUAAUCGUGAGUUACUCUAAGAUUAUCACCACAAAUACUUACACGGCCAAAGCGGACAGUUCGUUUCUCUAGCAUUCUAAGAAAUGCUAGGCUGGACAUCCCAGGUGCUGCCAACUUCAACUCCUCAAAGGAAAAUAGGAUGUCUGUAGCAUAUACUGUAGAAAAUUGUGAAGUAGCAGGCCAGUAGUCAUUAUGGACCAGCUCAUCCACUCCAGCAUGCCAUGUGGCUUCGCAUACCUCACAGUUCAACUCUGGCAAGUUGAGAUCAUAUCGGCCUGGGAAAAGGAAAGAAUUACAUAUGCACAUUUAAUUCUGAAACUGAAGUGGGAACCUUUGACUCAGGAGGACACUAGCGAGGUUUCCAUUAAACUUAUUUGCAUUUGAUAUUUGCAUUAAUGAAAAUUCAGCUCAAGAAUCUGUGUAUGCUUCCAUCAGCUGUUUAAUGUGAAUUAAAAAUGGACAUUAGACUAAUCAGGGGAUGUGUUCUGACCAGCUGUGGGAUCAAAAUGUCUCCAGGACAACAUUGAAACAUGGUAAAUGUGCAUAUAUGCCUAUUAAACUGUUUCCAUAAACUUUAAUUGCACUACGCCUUAUUCACAUCAAGAGUUAAUCCACCCCCAUCAAUCAAAUCAGAUUUAUAUUUGCAUUAAGGGACUUAUCCGCAUUUGCAGGUGUUUUCAAUUUAGCAUUUCUUAUGCACAUGACUGAAAUUUGAAUUAACAAGUUGGAUGGAAACUCA